GUUAAGUAUUCUUGGCAUUCCGGAAGAAAGUGAUCUUUUGCAUCAAGUUGCUUUAACGGAAUUCGAAGUCAAAGAAAUUUUGAAAAGUGCCCCAGACAGUACAAGAACAAACGAAAGCACCACGAAAAAAGGCCAAGCUUCUUCGACGCCACCACCGCCCCCUACCAUCGUGUUAACACCAAUUGAAAUAAGUCAAUUUUUGAAGCUAAAGGAUCAUCCGCAUCAGAGCAAGUGUGGCACGUGGCAAAAAAAAAGCUGAGAGCUUCGUGUUGCUCGUGUGAAAGUGCAAUGUUGGCUGGGAAAAUAUUCGUUUAUGUAAUGGGACUUUAUAUUCCACGCGGACAGCGAUUUGCAACCCCUUGCCAAUUUUACUUUUGUGCUGACCUACACUGCCUCGCACAAAAGCCAUUUGCAAGUAAUCUGGUGGUACCGCCUACAGUUAUAACAGUUGGUGCAAAUUCUCAAUUAUCGCCGGCUGACGUUGCACUAAUAGAGAGUAGAGGACUGCCCACAAAGUUUUAAAAAGGAAUACAUGCAUUCAACUAAAAAACAAAUACAUCUUAUUGAGUGGUUUGACAUACAAUCCGGCCAGUAUUUUACGAGUUUUGAAGUGAAAACCCUGAGUAUCAGGUUGGAAAAGAGUAAAAUGCUCGGCAGGACAAAAAAAAUUUAAAAAGGAGUAAAAUGCUCGGCAACAGGAUUAAAAUGCUCGGCAACAAAUACUCGGGUAAAUAUUUCGAGUAAAAUGCUCGGCAAUAGGAUUUCUAUUAUAUGACAACUCUCAAAAUAUAUUUUUCCUUGUCUUUUUUGAAGGAUUUGCUUGCAUUUACGGCAAAUAAUUUCAGAUUUUCAGAUGCAAUAAAAACAAACAUCCUGAAGCACAGAAGCAGGUUCUGAAGUUGCAUACCAAAUUAGGAACAACUUGACACUGACGCCAUCGUUCUUGCAUUUGACCUAUUCGGAUUUUUGCUUCGUUCAAACCUUAACCGAAAC